CUGCUGCGUCGCACAGGAAUUCUCUGAGUGAAAACAAUCAAGUACGCAGAGAAUCGCCCAAUCAUGAGCGGACAUCCAACAGUGAAAUGGGCACAGAGAUCAGAUGAAGUAUUCAUAACUAUUGAGCUUCCUGAUGCUCAGGAUGUGAAGCUUAGACUGAAGCCCGAAGGAAAAUUCUUAUUCUCUGCCACAAGUGGGAAGACAAAAUUCCCUACGAAGUCGACUUUGAUCUGCACGACAAAGUUGACGUCGAUGUAUGUUGGCAGCUGAAGUCUCGAUUCUUAGAAUCAACCCUUAAUACAUACUCUGCCUAUAUAGUUUAAUGUGUGUCAUUGUGAUCUGGUUUGCAGGGAAGCAGGGCUAGUGUUGGAAAUAGAAAUAUCACUAACCCCGUGAAAAAGGCCGAGAGCAAGUAGUGGAACAGAUUGCUGAAACAGGAAGAGAAACCCCCUGUGUUUUUUAAAGUCGAUUGGGAUUGAUGGGUCGACGAAGAUGAGGAGGAUCAGGACACUAAGCCCGGACCUGACAUGGACUUUGGCGACUUUGACUUCUCCGUGAGUGGCAGUUUUAUCACCUAAUAUUUACGAUUCGAGUGUCUCUAAAUUGGACUUGACACCAUUUGCUUCUAUUUCCUUCUUGUUACAGAAGAUAAACAUGGGUGGUGGUGAGGGCUUUGAUAUGGCUGAAGGGGAGGAUGAUGACGACAAUGAUACAGAAGAUGAAACUGUGAAAGAAUUAUCAGCUUCAAAGAAAGAUGCCUCAUUGUCCGGUGCUGCACCUGAAGUCAAAAGCGUUUAGAGCUGCAUGUUUCGUCUCGCAGUCGUAUAUCUUGCCAAGUCGGAUGCGUUAAGCUACAUAACAAUAUUAUUUAUGCUCUUAUUUUUAUUUUCGCUUGUUGAUCUCCCUUUCUAGUGGAAGAGUCUGGUCAUUAUUAGA